rnacentral:lncRNA from 1 species
UGCAAGUCACGAUGAACUCUAAAGAGAUCCUCAGGGAACAGAUGCUCCUUGGGGGCAUCAGUGAUCCCUAUGACAAAGGCUUGAUACACUUACAACAGGUGAUGUAAGAAAAUCCUUCGUUACUAUUAGUCAUUGUGUACCUUGGCUUAUGGAAAAGCUUGCUUGGGCUAUGUCUCAUUCCAACAAGACGGCCAAGGGUGUUUAUACUGAGGAAAAAUACCGUCGAGUUUUUAUCCAGACCAAAGGUAUUGUAAAAGAAACCUUGACCAAGAUUAUAAGUAUUACUCAUUGUAUUUUUUAAUUUAAUUUUGAAGAUAAUAAUGAUUAUCUCGAGUCGCUCAAGACCAAUACCAAAAGUGUCAUCGGGCUCAUGUACGUGUAUAUAAAUUUAAAUAAUUUUGAUUUAUACCAAUAAUUCACACUUUUAUUGAGAUAGGGAUUGAAAAUGAUGAGGAAAUAUACAAACUCCUACCCACAACCUCAAGCAUCUGCGCGCAGCUUCCCUCUCCUCUUACGGGUGAUAGUGGUGAUAGUGGGAAUUUUGUCACCACAACAGUGAGUACGAGGGCUAUCACAAAUUCUGAUAGGACUCACUUAUCGGAAUUAUUCAACAGUGAUGGAAAGGUAACAAUAAACGAGUCCACUUGGCAGGAAGUACUAACAAACAAAAGGUUUGUCAACUUUGUUUUCCGAUUUGAAGGCCGAUCCCUCAACCGGAAGAAGGACAGGGUCAGGAAAAUACUUACACAUCAUAAUAAAAAAUAUAUAAUUAAAAUAAUAAUGUCUACUUUAUUGGUGAAGGAUGGAGGAAAUUACAGAAAUUAUAGGGGAAAUAAAUAUGAAUAUAUAUUCAUUAUCAAUAUACAUUUAAUUUGAUAACUUAACUUUAAAAAAAGUACUAUAAAACUAUAGAUAUAUCCCAUUUCAGUCACUUUUUUAUUAAAAUACAAAAAGGUCUAUUUGUUAUGGCCAGGAAGGGUUCAAUAGUUAGUUGUAAUAUUCUUCGUAUUUCAUCUGGUUUAUUGUUAAAAUCCUCAUCGACUGGGUUAAUAUUACAGAU